rnacentral:lncRNA from 1 species
UGAAGUUUUAAAGUCUGAAAGCUUUGAUCAUAGCACUGAUUUGUGUCCGCUUCAACCAAACUUACUUAAUGUAUAGAAAAAUAGCUCAUGACAGCAUUUUUGAUAGUAACCAUACAUAAAGCUGGAUUUUACCUUGUUUGACCACCCGUCAGAGAGCUAGAAAUCCAGAGCCAAUUAGCAGUGCGAUUUAAUGCAUCGAAACACAACACAUACUGCAAAAACCAGCCAGGCUGCAGGUUACAGACAACAUCACACACUGCAUUAAAACAGCUGCAUUGUCAGGUCUGUGAAACUCCAUGAGGUUUGCCUUAAAUUGCCGUUCUGCUCUGAAAAGCAGGCUUUGAAGAGCUCACUGCGUGGCUCCAUGUUUAUUGCAUCGCUUCAGUCCUUAUCAGAUCAUAUAGCUACAAAGAAGAUGGUUUCUUCUAUUUGCCAGGUGGAAUCAGAGAGGAAGGAUGGAUUGCUUUUCCAUGUCAACUCAGAGAAGAUAAGUGAUGCACCAGUGAUUUCAUCCCGCUGUUUCCCACUGUGCUUGGACAGCCUUCCUUGUUUCGCCCAGUAACACUGCUGCUGAAGCUUUCACCACAGAGUUUGCCUUUUACAGAAGCCAACUUUGCCUUCCCUGCUUGGUGUCAUUUUAACUUGACACAAUCAGUCCUGGCAUGAAUGGCUGCGGUGCUCUGAGCUGUGUUUCAAGGGUGCUGAGGCUCUGGCCCUGGCCUGUGCUGGAAAGAGACGUCCCCAGGAGGCAGGAGCAGAAGGGACUGGGCUGGAGGAAAAGCACCCCAGGGAGAAGGAGGACUCUGCAAGCACCAGCACAGUGUCCCAGGGCUCUGUGCUUUGUGUGGUGCAAGCUACUUUUCUCGUUCUGCCCAAUCUCAAAAGCAGACUCACUGCAAGACAAGUUGGGUCUGGGGAACUGA